AACUUUCAAUAACAGAUCUCUUAAUUCUAAUAUUAAUAAAGAACGUAGCGAAAUAUAAUAAAUAAUAUAAAUUAUAGAAUUUAAUAAAUUAUCGAAUCUUUAAAUAUAUAUUACACUCGCCAAUAUUCUAACAAAUAUACUUAUUCGAACGUUA
rnacentral:rRNA from 2 species